rnacentral:lncRNA from 1 species
AUGCCGGAGUGUAAAGUAUCAACAUACCGGUUUUGCUCGAAAUUGAUGUGUGUGAAGGGGAAAAUGGGAGGUAGGCGGGGUGACAUAUAUAUAUGACACACACGUAUGGGCGCGUGUAUAGCUAUCUUUUUCAAUUUUCAAGAGAAUCUCUGAUAUAAUAUGAGAAUUUGUCCUUUUAUAUACGACGCGUAUAGGCCUAUAUGCAACCUAUAUAUAAAUAGUGUUUUUUUAAGAAACAUUGUUAUACAUUUUAUCGUUUUAGCAAACUUUUAUAAAAAAAAUACAAGUUUUCUAUUUUAAAUAAAUAAAAAGUAAGUAUUUCUUACAAACUUUUUUAUACAACACUAAUCAUUUUUAUACGAUAAAUAUCGUAUAAGCCUCGUAAAAAAACCAGUAUUUUUUAAUAUUAAUUUAAUUAGAUAAUGCAUUUGUACAUAACGUAGAGAUUCGCAAAACAUAGAAGCCGGUUUUGAAGUGGUACAACCUGUAUCUCCUUUAAAACCGGUCUGACUAA